rfam:Tupaia chinensis contig97380, whole genome shotgun sequence.
AUACUCUGGUUUCUCUUCAGAUCGCAUAAAUCUUUCGUCUUUUACUAAAGAUUUCCAUGGAGUAGAGGAGAAGAGAUUAUGGUGUGGCCAUUCCCCCAGGGGGGUG